GCAAUCUACCCUUUACAGAGGGAUAGCCCAGAGAAAUUUGGAUUAAUACCUCAUAGUAUGCAGAGUUGGCAUCAACACUGCAUUAAAGUCACAACGGUAAAAGAUGAGCAUGCGUCCCAUUAGCUAGUUGGUAAGGUAACGGCUUACCAAGGCUACGAUGGGUAGGGGUCCUGAGAGGGAGAUCC
rnacentral:rRNA from 1 species